CAUGGACCAGAGCACGCCAGGCACUCCUGUCUUCCACUGGCCUCCCACAGUUUGGUCAAACUCAUGUUGGUAGCUUUGAGAACACUGUCCAACCAUCUCAUCCUCUGUUGUCCCCUUUUCCUUGUGCCCUCCAUCUUUCCCAACAUCAGGGUCUUUUCCAGGGAGUCAUCUCUUCUCAUGAGGUGGCCAAAGUAUUGGAGUCUCAGCUUCAGGAUCUGUACUUCCAGUGAGCACUCAGGGCUGAUUUAAUAAUAAGGUAACAUUAUAAAAUUAGUUGCAAAAUUAAUGAAUGUUAGAAUGAUGUUAGAUUGAAGUUAAGUGGUUUCUAGCUGUACAGGCACAAAAGAAUAUGGAAAAAUUGGUUUUUAAUAUGUAAAAUGUAAAAUUUAAAGUUAUAUUAUAUCAAGAUUAAAGAUUAGGAUUAAAAAGGAGGGAAAGGAAUUGUUGGAUUAACAUAUUUAAUUAGAAUACAGAAGAGGGAGGUAAGAGGAGGUCCGGGAAAUAAGUAAACGUAAAAGAAGUGAGGAAAAGAUGAAAUUGUUUUAAAUUGUUUUUUCUUUUUACUUUGUAUUUUUCCUUUUUAUUGUUAACUUUUUCUUUACUAAUGUGGAUCUUUUUAUUUAUUUAUUUUUCUGUGAAACUUUAAUAAAUAUUAUUUUUUUAAAAAAACAUUAUAAAAUUAGAGCUCGGUUAGAAAGGUUGCUGGAAUAAAAUGUUUUUACUAUUUUUUUGUUGAGAGCUGCCCAGAUUGGAU